rnacentral:tRNA from 1 species
GUGUUUGUUGUGUAGUGGUUAUCACAUCCGCCUAACACGCGGAAGGUCCCAGGUUCGAUCCCUGGCAGGCACA